rnacentral:rRNA from 1 species
GCUGGCGGCGUGCUUAACACAUGCAAGUCGAACGGUGAACACGGAGCUUGCUCUGUGGGAUCAGUGGCGAACGGGUGAGUAACACGUGAGCAACCUGCCCCUGACUCUGGGAUAAGCGCUGGAAACGGCGUCUAAUACUGGAUACGAGUAGCGACCGCAUGGUCAGUUACUGGAAAGAUUUAUUGGUUGGGGAUGGGCUCGCGGCCUAUCAGCUUGUUGGUGAGGUAAUGGCUCACCAAGGCGUCGACGGGUAGCCGGCCUGAGAGGGUGACCGGCCACACUGGGACUGAGACACGGCCCAGACUCCUACGGGAGGCAGCAGUGGGGAAUAUUGCACAAUGGGCGCAAGCCUGAUGCAGCAACGCCGCGUGAGGGAUGACGGCCUUCGGGUUGUAAACCUCUUUUAGCAGGGAAGAAGCGAAAGUGACGGUACCUGCAGAAAAAGCGCCGGCUAACUACGUGCCAGCAGCCGCGGUAAUACGUAGGGCGCAAGCGUUAUCCGGAAUUAUUGGGCGUAAAGAGCUCGUAGGCGGUUUGUCGCGUCUGCUGUGAAAUCCGGAGGCUCAACCUCCGGCCUGCAGUGGGUACGGGCAGACUAGAGUGCGGUAGGGGAGAUUGGAAUUCCUGGUGUAGCGGUGGAAUGCGCAGAUAUCAGGAGGAACACCGAUGGCGAAGGCAGAUNUCUGGGCCGUAAC